CUGCCAUGAGGAAUUCUGUGCUCCAGUGAUCGUGGGUCGAUCACGACCGUCGGAUCAUCUGUCGUCGACACCUUGGCACAUCUGAGCUU